UACCAGCACCCCGAGUGGUCGGGACGAUUAUUGGGCCUAAAGCAUCCGUAGCCGGUUCUACAAGUCUUCCGUUAAAUCCAACUGCUUAACAGGUGGGCUGCGGAAGAUACUAUAGAGCUAGGAGGCGGGAGAGGCAAGCGGUACUCGAUGGGUAGGGGUAAAAUCCGUUGAUCCAUUGAAGACCACCAGUGGCGAAGGCGGCUUGCCAGAACGCGCUCGACGGUGAGGGAUGAAAGCUGGGGAGCAAACCGG
rnacentral:rRNA from 1 species